UACAGAGGUCUCAAGCGUUGUUCGGAUUCAUUGGGCGUAAAGGGUGCGUAGGCGGCGCGGUAAGUCGGGUGUGAAAUCUCGGAGCUUAACUCCGAAACUGCACUUGAUACUGCCUUGCUAGAGUACUGGAGAGGAGACUGGAAUUUACGGUGUAGCGGUGAAAUGCGUAGAUAUCGUAAGGAAGACCAGUGGCGAAGGCGGGUCUCUGGACAGUUCCUGACGCUGAGGCACGAAGGCCAGGGGAGCAAACGGG
rnacentral:rRNA from 1 species